AGCCUUGGCACACCUUCGUGUGCGUCUCUAGAUUUGCAUUCUAGCGUGAACCACUACAAGAC
rnacentral:tRNA from 1 species